rnacentral:lncRNA from 10 species
UUAAAUCCUGAAGCACUUCUAAAUGAAAUGUAUUUUCAGGUUUUAUUUUACUGAGAGAGAAGUGCAGAGCCCAAGGAAUGAAUUAAUUAUUAGUCAAAAGAUGACAUAAGUGUGAAGACCAAGAGGGGAAAGGUGGGCAUCAUUAAGAAGAGUAUGUCUUAGAGAGAACUGGAUGAUUAGAGAAGAAGUGGUCAUUGAACUAAAACUUGUGAUGAAUUCUUGGAAGGUAGACAGAGGUGCCAAAGCCCAAGAUAGACAUCAGAGAAAAG